rnacentral:misc_RNA from 1 species
CAUUAUAACAGGAGCAGGAGGCUGCGGCAUAGCUUCUUUUUUCCUUAUUAUGAGUUCGCAACCAUUCUGCUUUAGCUGCAGCUCUGUUAUAUCUCUUGAAUCCACAAGCUUCACAAGAUCUGAAACUUCAGCCAUGAAUGUGGAUAUGGCAGAAUCUGACAAUGCAACUUGACUGGAUUCCAUUGCUGCCUCAGCAUCUUUGCCACCAGAUGAAGGAACUUCCGACUUGGUUGACGACACCGGGG